ensembl:lncRNA
UAAGCAGCUUAUAGGCAAUGCAAAAAAUCCACCAUAACAACACAGAUAUAAGCAAUACAAAUCACUCAAUCAAUUCUCACAUUACGUUUCUUUCAAAGAAAGGGAUUUUCAAACUAUUCCCUUAUACACUACAGAAUGGCAGAGACCUACCUGCUGCGGUAAGUGAAAUUGCUCGGCAUAUCCUAGAGCGCUCUAGUUCACUCAUGAUCCUGCAGUUACCUUACUAAGUUCUGCUUCCCAAAUAAUUAGGUGAUAUCUACUUACAUGCAGUAGACUAACCUCUGUCUCACGCAUUCAUGCCUCAUUUCCUCAUUUAAUGCUCUUUUCAGUCUUGUUAUUUAUUUUCUUUAAUAUUACAUUUCCAUUUCCAGCUCUACAGCCAGAUGAGUCACACUCAUUGCCAUCCAGAACGGCACUCUCCGAGGCCUGUGAAACAAUAAGCACAGAAAAACUGGAAGACUUAAGGAAAAUGCUCGAGCGUGGGGAUGCGUUAUGAAACUUUGGACGUGGAAGGGGACAGAAGAUUUGCCAGUCUCUCAAGAAACAGAAACUUUCAAGUUCCGAAUUUCUGGGAUUGCCGUACGGGAGCUAAAAUGACCAAUCCUGCAAAGAGAGAAAACCCCCAGCUUUCCACUGAGGCUUACAGGUAUUUGCAACACCUUGUAGGAUUGAGUCCUUUUAACACAUGCCCAUUAAUUGAAGUGAUUUUACUGUAAUAACUGCAUCCUUCUAUACUGUUGUACUACAGCGUAAUUCUCACCUGCCGGGGUCACAUUCUAGAGGCUAAAGUUGUAUACAGCAAGUACACUAAGUAAUAGGUAUUAAUCAUUAUAGAUUUUUCUGUUCAUUGUUUGACACCUGUUAACAAAUGAGCCAUCGCUUGCCCGGCAAAGAUUCUGUAACAGCUCUUUUAUUUCGUUAACGACUGUCCUCCCAGCAACAGCACUUAAAGCUGUAGCCACAUAUUGUCAGAUGAGCUUGCAUCGAAGAUGGACUGCUAGCUCAGGUAAUGUCUGAUUUUCACUUAAGUAUGAAUUUAGGUGAUGCCUCUUGUUUUUUGGGUUUGUUUUUUUCUAGGUCAUAACUUAGAGCUAACUCAGAAUAGAUAAAAGGCAAACCAGAUAAAAGAGACCGCUUGUUUCUUUGUUGACAGAAAGUGGCAAGCUGGGAGGCUGUUUAGGGAUCGAGAUAAAAAAUGGCAAUAAGCUCCCUGUCAAAGGAAGGAGAGGGAAAAAAAUAAGAGGUCAGAGAAGAUAUUUUCUAGAUCGGCUAUCUGAUUUAGAACUGACAGAGAAACGGAACAAGCAACCAUGAGAUACAAACACUACUGACUUAUUAAUGCACUUGCAAGGGGUAAAAAACGGAGAAGAGGUGAAGCGAAUCACCCGAAGGCAGACGAGAGAGAUGCAUCUAUGCACACAUUUGUAUAUUUGGACCGGCUCUUCGCUCAGAUAGUAUUUUAGAAAACUGAAGAUUAAAAGCAUUCCCUUCCGAAGCUUGAGAGUCACAAAAUCUUGUAAUGCAGACUGAUAAUUAAGUUGGAUUCUUUGUUGGGCAGCACCACUGAAGCAGAUCUAAAAUUGUGUGUAUAUAUAUACAUAUACACACACAUAUAAUUUUUCCACCCUUCCCCCCUCCCUCACUCCUCCCCUGCCAUUCUUUCUCCAAGCACAGGUGCCCUUCCUCAUUUGGACUUUUCAGGUAUUUUUGGGGAAAAAGAACAGUUCAACACUAAUGCACGUAUUUGAACAAAUCCCACUCUCCAGUUAAGGUAUCUUCUCCCAGGAUUCAGUGAGCUUUCCAACACUGAUUAUUUUUCAAGUUGCCCCGUAACUCUUGAUUUCUGUUCAUUACACUCUUUCCGACAUCUCUUAUUUUUGACUCAUUCCCCUCCAACCAUUAUCUCUGCUUCUAAGUCUCUCUGCACUUCGGACAUUCUUUAACUUUGCUCACAGCCACUGUUCUUCACUCUCGAUUUGCACUCCUGCAUAUUUCCCCGUACGUUCGCCUUUUCCUCCCUGCUAUCAGAAAUUGGAGCCAUCUUUCCUUGAAUCAGAAUAAAUCCUCCAAGAGACAAUACA